AUAGAGCAACAGCUUCUAUGCAGUUUUAGUUGACCCCGAUUAAUCUUCUCGCCCGCCAAAGUGAUGAGAUUAUCGGGGUUUUCGUUU
rfam:Erwinia tracheiphila strain BuffGH Etrach_6, whole genome shotgun sequence.